GUUACCAAUUUUCUUCUUCAUUAUUUUCCCUUUUCAUUGAAAACACCUUUUUUUCUUGUUCUCCUUCUUCUUCAUAAUCCCCUUCAGUAGAUAUAUGAUUAACAUUGGGCGAGAGUUUUGUUCAAAUUUAUCAAAACCGUAUUCAACUGUGUUGAUGAUAAUUCUUAAUGUCUUAAUAAAUUAUAAAAGUUUUUAAUUAAUUAGUGAAUUGGAUUUGAGAUUACAUAAUCACAACCCUAAAGAUGAAGAGCAUCUGUAGUCGUCCAGACGAUGAUCCACAACAAUUUUUAAUGGAGUGAAGAAUUAUUACUCUUUCACACGUUGAAGCAUUAUUCAGUUUAAUGGAGGAUCGGACAACGAUGGACGGAGGGCUGGGUGGCGAUGAAACAGCAUUAGAAAGCCCUCAGAAUAGUAAAACAGGAAAGGAGGAAAUUGUGAUGCAAAGGAAGAAAGGAAUAUCGGAGGGAAAAGCUCCGAGCAAUGAACUGGAAAUAGGUACGAUUUAUCAGAUAAGAUGUAAUGUUCGUAGUGGAGAAAGAUUAUUCCACUGAAUAGGAUUUAUUGAUAACAAAAUUAGCCAGAAAAUAUUUUUGUUCAAAGACUAAAAAUUGAUAGAAUUAUGCGAGGA